rnacentral:lncRNA from 1 species
GUUGGCAUUCUUUUCUUCAUUAGUUCACCACCCUUUACUCGAAGAUGGUGCAUCACCUGGGCUUGAAAGGUAGAACAGAAGUUCUCCUGAGGGCCUCCUGGGUGUCGUAUGUUGUAUGAUACAUAUCAUAUAUAUACCCACCAAUAAAUGCAAGGAAAUGGCAUACGGAUAUACAGGGAAUAAUGAAUAGAGUCUGAGAGGAGUAAGUACCUGGCUGUCGGACAUUGUUAUUACUGAGUGAAGGUUGGAGAUGGGUAAGCACAGUGUUGAGACGGGAAGAGAACCAGGGAGAAGAGCAAGAGCAUCAUCACCACAGGGACGAAGAGAAGGAACAGCGGCGGCGGCGAAAGCGAUGGCAGAACCAAUGGCAGCCACAAAAGGAUCACUGUCGCCGCAAGCAACACCAUCAGUGCUCUCUUGUUCAUCGUCGUCACCGCCCUGUGUUGUGAUGAAACUAAACUUCUGCCUCCUCC